rnacentral:rRNA from 1 species
UAGGGAAUCUUCCGCAAUGGGCGAAAGCCUGACGGAGCAACGCCGCGUGAGUGAUGAAGGUCUUCGGAUCGUAAAACUCUGUUAUUAGGGAAGAACAAAUGUGUAAGUAACUAUGCACGUCUUGACGGUACCUAAUCAGAAAGCCACGGCUAACUACGUGCCAGCAGCCGCGGUAAUACGUAGGUGGCAAGCGUUAUCCGGAAUUAUUGGGCGUAAAGCGCGCGUAGGCGGUUUUUUAAGUCUGAUGUGAAAGCCCACGGCUCAACCGUGGACGGUCAUUGGAAACUGGAAAACUUGAGUGCAGAAGAGGAAAGUGGAAUUCCAUGUGUAGCGGUGAAAUGCGCAGAGAUAUGGAGGAACACCAGUGGCGAAGGCGACUUUCUGGUCUGUAACUGACGCUGAUGUGCGAAAGCGUGGGGAUCAAACAGG